rnacentral:rRNA from 1 species
GAUGAACGCUGGCGGCGUGCCUAAUACAUGCAAGUCGAGCGAACGGACGAGGAGCUUGCUCCUCUGACGUUAGCGGCGGACGGGUGAGUAACACGUGGAUAACCUACCUAUAAGACUGGGAUAACUUCGGGAAACCGGAGCUAAUACCGGAUAAUAUAUUGAACCGCAUGGUUCAAUAGUGAAAGACGGUUUUGCUGUCACUUAUAGAUGGAUCCGCGCCGCAUUAGCUAGUUGGUAAGGUAACGGCUUACCAAGGCAACGAUGCGUAGCCGACCUGAGAGGGUGAUCAGCCACACUGGAACUGAGACACGGUCCAGACUCCUACGGGAGGCAGCAGUAGGGAAUCUUCCGCAAUGGGCGAAAGCCUGACGGAGCAACGCCGCGUGAGUGAUGAAGGUCUUCGGAUCGUAAAACUCUGUUAUUAGGGAAGAACAAAUGUGUAAGUAACUAUGCACGUCUUGACGGUACCUAAUCAGAAAGCCACGGCUAACUACGUG